rnacentral:lncRNA from 1 species
GACCUUUGACACGGGCAGUAGGUUGGGCCAAAAGCUGUAACUCCACAUCCCAGUCCUUUAACACACUGAGUGUUUUUCUCUCAGGUCACAGGCAAGUGCAGGUCAGCAGGAAAACCAUUUCUACCUUUGGCUUCAAGGUGAAUGAAGAGAAGAGGAACGUGGAUAAUGUCACGGGAGGGUUUAGGAUCCAGUCAUCAUUUACGCGGAUUUGGAUGACGAGAAUACAUAUUUGCAUAUAUCUCACAUCUCUUUCUACUUGUGUGAGGAAUUUCCCUUUGGAGAGUUCUGCACUCAUGUUUCACAGAAAUACCAUUAAUUUGGCAACAGUGCAACUCGCCCAUAUGUGACUGCACUAUUAUUCUCUACUGUGACAGUGGUUUUUGCAUAAUUAUUUGCACUGGAAACUGAAGUUUUUGAGAGCUGUGACUUUGUUUCUGGAUGAACCCCCUUUCACUUUCAGUAAGAAACUUAUCUUCCAGACCAUUUCUCAAAAAUAUUCAAAGACAAUAACAGCUCCAGGGAUCAAUUUCUUUUCUAAAAAUGUAGCUCUGCUCAUAUGUGAUGAUAAUUUUCAAUUUGUUAUUGCCUUCCAAGCCCCGUGCUUUUUCUGCCCUUCAUAUUAAACCUGGUUUCAUCAAACUUUAGCUUGAGCAAAAAUUAAUACAGAUUAAAAUGUUUUGUAGUAAUUCAUAUGUUGUCAACGGCUAAAAGAUAUACAUAGAGUCUACAUGAGCCCAAUUUCUCUAAUUUGAAUUGAAUGUCACUGAGAACCUCCAUGGAAUCUUAUAUAAACUUAAAAAGAGAAAAUGCUUCCUGAUUUAUUGUUCCAUAAUAUCAGAUUUUCUUACACUGAGUGUUCUUAAAAUGUAGUUCUGCUUUAUUGAUAGGAUUUCAGUUGGGAUUACAAAGACAAAUUCAUCAACAACAGUUUCUGCCGAGGGUAAUUUGACCUUCAAAGGUAUCAUAUCAUUUAAAAUUUGAGUCUAGAAUAUAGUUGUAGGAUAUAGGAAAGUAUGGGAGAAUGGACAUAAUAUUGACUUUGGAGUCAUUUUACCUGAAUCCAAAUGCUAAUUUCUUUACUUCCACAGUUGUGAGGACAGUGAGUUCAUAUCUUUUAGUCUAAGUUUCCUCACCAGUAAAAUUGGGAUAAUGACUGUC